AUGGCACGGCAAACGCUGCUCCUGUUCGUAGCCACGCUCGUCGCCUCUGCCACAGCGGCCGCGGCGGCGGUGGAGCUCGUCGUCCAGGGGCGCACGGCGGAUGUGGCGGGGUGGAUGCGUCCGGGACCCAUCUCCUGCCAAGGCACGGUGGAGGAGUGCCUGCACGAACGCGAGCGCGAGCACGACGACGUGUUUGGGCUCAGGCGGCGCCUUGUCUACGCGGAGGAAGAGGAGGACGGCGGCGGCUACCCUACGCAGUACAUCAGCUACUCCGCGCUGAUGAGGGACUCGGUGCCGUGUUCCGUGCCGGGCGCGUCCUACUACAACUGCCAUCCGGGCGCCGUCGCCAACCCCUACUCGCGCGGCUGCUCCGCUAUCAGCCAAUGCCGCGACUAG
rnacentral:rRNA from 1 species